rnacentral:rRNA from 1 species
UGCGUAGGGAGCAAGCGUUGUUCGGAUUUACUGGGCGUAAAGGGCGCGUAGGCGGCGCGGUAAGUCACUUGUGAAAUCUCUGAGCUUAACUCAGAACGGCCAAGUGAUACUGCAGUGCUAGAGUGCAGAAAGGGCAAUCGGAAUUCUUGGUGUAGCGGUGAAAUGCGUAGAUAUCAAGAGGAACACCUGAGGCGAAGGCGGGUUGCUAGGCUGACACUGACGCUGAGGCGCGAAAGCCAGGGGAGCAAACGGG